UACGUAGGGUGCGAGCGUUGUCCGGAAUUAUUGGGCGUAAAGAGCUCGUAGGCGGUUUGUUGCGUCGGCCGUGAAAACCUGCAGCUUAACUGUGGGCCUGCGGUCGAUACGGGCAGACUUGAGUUCGGUAGGGGAGACUGGAAUUCCUGGUGUAGCGGUGAAAUGCGCAGAUAUCAGGAGGAACACCGAUGGCGAAGGCAGGUCUCUGGGCCGAUACUGACGCUGAGGAGCGAAAGCGUGGGGAGCGAACAGG
rnacentral:rRNA from 1 species